UACAGAGGUCUCAAGCGUUGUUCGGAUUCAUUGGGCGUAAAGGGUGUGUAGGUGGCGCCGUAAGUCGGGUGUGAAAUUUCGGAGCUUAACUCCGAAACUGCAUUCGAUACUGCGGUGCUUGAGGACUGGAGAGGAGACUGGAAUUCCUGGUGUAGCGGUGAAAUGCGCAGAUAUCAGGAGGAACACCGAUGGCGAAGGCAGGUCUCUGGGCCGAUACUGACGCUGAGGAGCGAAAGCGUGGGGAGCGAACAGG
rnacentral:rRNA from 1 species